GCGGUCCUGGCAGGCGGGCAGUGUGGGUGUGGUCAUCGGUCACUCCCGAGCGGGCGGUGGUGAUCCCAGAGGAUCCUGACACCCCUGAACUGCAC
rnacentral:tRNA from 1 species